UGAUGGGCUCAGUGGUAGAACACAUGAUUAGUAUGCAGGAGGCCCUGGGUUUGAUCCCCAGCAA
rnacentral:tRNA from 1 species